UUAAAUGGCACAGUUAGUUCAGCUGUGAACUGCAGGUUCAGCACAGCUGUUUUUGUGUCUAUUUUGUGUUUAUUUUUUGCAAUCUGGCAUGUUUAGAAAUGUGCCGAAUUGGCUACUUUCAACUCAUGUUUGGAUUAAUCACAUGGAAUUAAAGACAACUCUCACAUGAUUAAUCUGAUGCUGAAGAAAAAGAAAAAAAAACUUAAUUCCCCUCAACUAAAUUCGGCACUCAUGACUCGUGACGCGUGUUUCUCUCUCCAUGAUUCCCAAACGAAUUUUCGUUUAAUUUCCCGUUGGAGUUUCGUCAUUACAUCCUGGCUCUGGUCCUGGAUGAACUGGACAUGUGGUUGAAACAGACACCCUUCUGUUCAGCCUGCAGGGCAGUUGAAGUCCCCCUCCUCCCCUCCUUCAGGUGCUGAGGAGGCACCAGAAGUGGAAGCAGCAUCCACAGAAAGUCCCAGAGAGGCAGGUCUGAAGGACAGGUGGGGAGCCACACAGUGCCACCUCAAACCACUGUCUCCACAGCAGGAAGGACGGAGGGAGGCAACACAUAGAUGGAGACCAGCAUGCUAAGAGACCCAAGAAAGACAGAUUUGUGUGAGUGUGCAAGU